rnacentral:rRNA from 1 species
AACGAACGCUGGCGGCAUGCCUACACCUGCAAGUCGCACGAGACCUUCGGGUCUAGUGGCGCACGGGUGCGUAACGCGUGGGAACCUGCCCUUAGGUUCGGAAUAACUCCCCGAAAGGGGUGCUAAUACCGGAUAAUGUCUUCGGACCAAAGAUUUAUCGCCUUUGGAUGGGCCCGCGUUGGAUUAGCUAGUUGGUAGGGUAAAAGCCUACCAAGGCGACGAUCCAUAGCUGGUCUGAGAGGAUGAUCAGCCACACUGGGACUGAGACACGGCCCAGACUCCUACGGGAGGCAGCAGUGGGGAAUAUUGGACAAUGGGCGAAAGCCUGAUCCAGCAAUGCCGCGUGAGUGAUGAAGGCCUUAGGGUUGUAAAGCUCUUUUACCCGGGAUGAUAAUGACAGUACCGGGAGAAUAAGCUCCGGCUAACUCCGUG